AUGAGAAGGGCAGAACAAGCCACCAUUCCUGUAUGAAACCCAAGGCAGCAAGACCAGCAUGUGCAAAGGCCCUGAGUCAGGACUAGCUUGGUACAUUCAAGGAAGGGCAGAAAACCAGUAUGGCUGAAGCAUGGUGAGCAAGGACCCACGUGAGUGGCCCCUUCGCAUCAACUCAGAGGAAGGUGCCUAGACGUCCAGGUGGGCCAAGCUGUGCUCUUUCAGAAACAACAUGAUUUUGGGUGCCAUUGCUCAAUCUCCCCAUCUAUCUAGAAGCCUCUCGAGAUCCAGGAGUUCUGGGAACUGUUAACCUGCUUUGGAAUCUGCCACAGUUCUAGUUGGAAGAAAGCAAAAUCUGAGGAAAAGUAUAAACCUGCCAAACUGUGAAUAGCAGCUAUAUUUCCAGGAAAUUCUCAUCCAUGAGGCUUAAGACGUUGUCCAGAAAUUUCUCAAAUUCCCCACAGAAGGGAAAGCCAGCUGUCAUAUCAGGAGGACAUUCAAGAAGUACACAUGAUAAACUGAGCGCUACCAGCAACCAUCCCCAGUCGAGCCUCAGAGGACAGCAGCCUCAUGAGAGACCCUGAGCCAGA